GAGAACUAUAUUGCUGUAAGAGAGACACGGUCCUGACUCUCCUGCAGUGAGAGUCUAGUGGUGGAGACAGGCACUAGAUAAGGAGACACCCAAAUCAAGGAGGAGAAUACGUUGUCUUUUAAAGACACUUAAAUGUUUACAGGAUCUCUGAGUUGACUGAAUGAACUGAAGGGGCAGGAGUAAAAGCAGG